CAAUAGCGUGUAUUAAAGUUGUUGCAGUUAAAAAGCUCGUAGUUGGAUUUCUGGUGGGAGCGAUCGGUCUGGCGCUUAGCGCGAGUACUUGCAUCGUCUCCGGCCAUCCUUGGGGAGAGUCUGUCUGGCAUUAGGUUGUCGGGCAGAGGAUCCUCAUCGUUUACUGUGAAAAAAUUAGAGUGUUCAAAGCAGGCUUAUGCCGUUGAAUAUAUUAGCAUGGAAUAAUAAGAUAGGACUUUGGUACUAUUUUGUUGGUUUGCGCACCAAAGUAAUGAUUAAUAGGGACAGUUGGGGGCAUUCGUAUUCCGUUGUCAGAGGUGAAAUUCUUGGAUUUACGGAAGACGAACUACUGCGAAAGCAUUUACCAAGGAUGUUUNCAUUGA
rnacentral:rRNA from 1 species